UAGGGAAUCUUCGGCAAUGGACGAAAGUCUGUCCGAGCAACGCCGCGUGAGUGAAGAAGGUUUUCGGAUCGUAAAACUCUGUUGUUAGAGAAGAACAAGUACGUUAGUAACUGAACGUCCCCUGACGGUAUCUAACCAGAAAGCCACGGCUAACUACCUGCCAGCAGCCGCGGUAAUACGUAGGUGGCAAGCGUUGUCCGGAUUUAUUGGGCGUAAAGCUAGCGCAGGCGGUUUCUUAAGUCUGAUGUGAAAGCGCCCGGCUCAACCGGGGAGGGUCAUUGGAAACUGGGAGACUUGAGCGCAGAAGAGGAGAGUGGAAUUCCAUGUGUAGCGGUGAAAUGCGUAGAUAUAUGGAGGAACACCAGUGGCGAAGGCGGCUCUCUGCUCUGUCACUGACGCUGAGGCUCGAAAGCGUGGGGCGAAAACAAG
rnacentral:rRNA from 1 species